rnacentral:rRNA from 1 species
GUGAAAGAUCAAACGGUAACAGGAUUAGCUUGCUAAUCGCUGACGAGUGGCGGACGGGUGAGUAAUGCUUGGGAACUUGCCUUUGCGAGGGGGAUAACAGUUGGAAACGACUGCUAAUACCGCAUAAUGUCUACGGACCAAACGGGGCUUCGGCUCCGGCGCAAAGAGAGGCCCAAGUGAGAUUAGCUAGUUGGUAAGGUAACGGCUUACCAAGGCGACGAUCUCUAGCUGUUCUGAGAGGAAGAUCAGCCACACUGGGACUGAGACACGGCCCAGACUCCUACGGGAGGCAGCAGUGGGGAAUAUUGCACAAUGGGGGAAACCCUGAUGCAGCCAUGCCGCGUGUGUGAAGAAGGCCUUCGGGUUGUAAAGCACUUUCAGUUGUGAGGAAAAGUUAGUAGUUAAUACCUGCUAGCCGUGACGUUAACAACAGAAGAAGCACCGGCUAACUCCGUGCCAGCAGCCGCGGUAAUACGGAGGGUGCGAGCGUUAAUCGGAAUUACUGGGCGUAAAGCGCACGCAGGCGGUUUGUUAAGCUAGAUGUGAAAGCCCCGGGCUCAACCUGGGAUGGUCAUUUAGAACUGGCAGACUAGAGUCUUGGAGAGGGGAGUGGAAUUCCAGGUGUAGCGGUGAAAUGCGUAGAUAUCUGGAGGAACAUCAGUGGCGAAGGCGACUCCCUGGCCAAAGACUGACGCUCAUGUGCGAAAGUGUGGGUAGCGAACAGGAUUAGAUACCCUGGUAGUCCACACCGUAAACGCUGUCUACUAGCUGUGUGUGUCUUUAAAACGUGCGUAGCGAAGCUAA